UACGUAGGUGGCAAGCGUUGUCCGGAAUUAUUGGGCGUAAAGCGCGCGCAGGCGGUCCUUUAAGUCUGAUGUGAAAGCCCACGGCUCAACCGUGGAGGGUCAUUGGAAACUGGGGGACUUGAGUACAGAAGAGAAGAGUGGAAUUCCACGUGUAGCGGUGAAAUGCGUAGAGAUGUGGAGGAACACCAGUGGCGAAGGCGAGUCCCUGGACAACACCUGACACUGAGGCACGAAAGCUAGGGGAGCAAACAGG
rnacentral:rRNA from 1 species